AUUAUUAUUAUUAUUAUUGAAUAAAGUCAAUUUUGAAAUUAAACAGUUUAAUAUCUGAUACGUCCCUUAUCUAGGGACCAUAUAUUAAAUUGAUUUUUGGAACGGAGAUGGAAUAGGGGCUUUCUCCGUCCACUCCACGCAUCAACCCAGUAUUGCCGUGCCUCUGGGAACGGUGCACUUCCC